rnacentral:rRNA from 1 species
AUUGAACGCUGGCGGCAUGCCUUACACAUGCAAGUCGAACGGUAACAGGUUAAGCUGACGAGUGGCGAACGGGUGAGUAAUGUAUCGGAACGUGCCCAGUCGUGGGGGAUAACUGCUCGAAAGAGCAGCUAAUACCGCAUACGACCUGAGGGUGAAAGCGGGGGAUCGCAAGACCUCGCGCGAUUGGAGCGGCCGAUAUCAGAUUAGGUAGUUGGUGGGGUAAAGGCUCACCAAGCCAACGAUCUGUAGCUGGUCUGAGAGGACGACCAGCCACACUGGGACUGAGACACGGCCCAGACUCCUACGGGAGGCAGCAGUGGGGAAUUCUGGACAAUGGGCGCAAGCCUGAUCCAGCCAUGCCGCGUGCGGGAAGAAGGCCUUCGGGUUGUAAACCGCUUUUGUCAGGGAAGAAAAGGUUCUGGCUAAUACCUGGGACUCAUGACGGUACUUGAAGAAUAAGCACCGGCUAACUACGUGCCAGCCGCCGCCGUAAAAC